ACCUAAUUAACCUAAUUUAAAACUUACCUCCUAUUCCUUCUUGCUUAAAUAUAAUAUAACAUAAAAAAAAAAAUAAAGACACCACAUAAUACUUAACUAAAAUAGAGAAACUAAUUAAAUCUUAAAAGCUUCUUACUUGUAUUGGACAUCAUUUCUUUUUGCAUUACAUAUUUUCAUAAAAUAUCUUAAGGGAAUAACCCAUAAACAACAUAAGGUAUGAAUUUCAUCACCCUCUCUUGGCCCACAAACCACCAUCCUGUAUUUGCAU
rnacentral:lncRNA from 1 species